GAUGAACGCUGGCGGCGUGCCUAAUACAUGCAAGUCGAGCGAACAGACGAGGAGCUUGCUCCUCUGACGUUAGCGGCGGACGGGUGAGUAACACGUGGAUAACCUACCUAUAAGACUGGGAUAACUUCGGGAAACCGGAGCUAAUACCGGAUAAUAUAUUGAACCGCAUGGUUCAAUAGUGAAAGACGGUUUUGCUGUCACUUAUAGAUGGAUCAGCGCCGCAUUAGCUAGUUGGUAAGGUAACGGCUUACCAAGGCGACGAUGCGUAGCCGACCUGAGAGGGUGAUCGGCCACACUGGAACUGAGACACGGUCCAGACUCCUACGGGAGGCAGCAGUAGGGAAUCUUCCGCAAUGGGCGAAAGCUUGACGGAGCAACGCCGCGUGAGUGAUGAAGGUCUUCGGAUCGUAAAACUCUGUUAUUAGGGAAGAACAAAUGUGUAAGUAACUAUGCACGUCUUGACGGUACCUAAUCAGAAAGCCACGGCUAACUACGUG
rnacentral:rRNA from 1 species